rnacentral:lncRNA from 1 species
GCAUUGGGAAAACUGGCUUUGCACUGUAUACAAUAACAAACAAACAAACUGGCCCCCUACCCUUGACCAUUACAAAGGUGGAUUCCAGAGGAGGAUUUAGUUAUGAAAGAACUAAAUCUGAAAGGUGAAAGCAUAGCAUAACCUUGUGAUCUAGAGAUGGAGAAGAUACCUCUUAAACCUUUUUAUUUUCAAUGCAACAAAUCCCCAUUUCUGGUGAGAAAAUCUUGCCAAAACCAACCAAGCAAAUGUAUAAAAGUCCCUAAGCCCAAACUGGAUUUUGCCUCAUUUUCUAAGAUGCAAAGGAAAUGGUAAAAGUUGAUCAAAGGAGAGGGCAGAGAAAGAAAGAGGACGACUCCUCCCUCUCAGGUCCACCUUCCCCGGUGUUGCUUGAGGGAUCAGAGGAAAUGCAUGAACACAGGUGCGUGGGAACUACGGCUGC